UUUUCACUCACUUUAUGUUAUAUAAUUUAUAUAUUAAUUUGGACUUUUGUUAACAGCACAUGGCGAAGAAACAAAAUGUAAAUGGCAUAUGCUAAUUUUUGAUGUUGGCAAAGCAGACUGCGCGAAAAAUAUACUAAAAACAAAGCACAAGGGAGUGUCCCUGGGCCCCACCCCUGCCGAAGAAAAAAAAAACAAGCAUGAAUGGGGCGCGCAACAGACGCACAAACAAAGGAUAAAGUAUGUGGUUAGGCGCACGGCGGAGUCAGCAGGAAGUUGUAUACACUCACAAACACACACACACACACUGUCAUACAUAUAAAGUAAAUGCGAAAACGUGGCGCGAAUAUAAAAUGUAGACGCUGAUGACGCGGCACUGCGGUCGUUGCGUUUUUCAAGAUA